UGGGGAAUCUUGCGCAAUGCGCGAAAGCGUGACGCAGCAACGCCGCGUGGGGGAAGAAGGCCUUCGGGUUGUAAACCCCUUUCAGGAGGGACGAAGGUGCGGCGGUGAAUAGCCGUCCGCACUGACGGUACCUCCACAAGAAGCCCCGGCUAACUACGUGCCAGCAGCCGCGGUAAUACGUAGGGGGCUAGCGUUGUCCGGAAUCAUUGGGCGUAAAGCGCGCGUAGGCGGCCCGGUAAGUCCGCUCUGAAAGUCCAGGGCUCAACCCUGGAAAGCGGGUGGAUACUGCCGGGCUAGAAUCCGGAAGAGGCGAGUGGAAUUCCUGGUGUAGCGGUGGAAUGCGCAGAUAUCAGGAGGAACACCAAUAGCGAAGGCAGCUCGCUGGGACGGUAUUGACGCUAAGGCGCGAAAGCGUGGGGAGCAAACAG
rnacentral:rRNA from 1 species